GAACAACCUUCUCCUCCGCCAAUCGGCGGCCUGGAAGGUGCUACGUCAUGCCCGGCCCCUGCUCCUCCCCAAGGUCCUUCUGCCUCUCUGAUCUCCGACCUGCGUUCUCAGCUGGGACUUCGAGUUCUCCCAGGAUAAUUAUCGACCAGCAGAAUCAGCCUGAAACCACCACUGAAGCACAACAUAUGCCUUGCUAUCUUCCUAAGGAUUAAGCAUGUGGGUAAGAAUGUAAGAAUCGUUACUUUUCUCCUUCGAGUUGUAAAUCAUGGGCAAGUUACUCAAUUUU